rnacentral:rRNA from 1 species
UACGAAGGGGGCUAGCGUUGUUCGGAAUCACUGGGCGUAAAGCGCAUGCAGGCGGAUCGUUAAGUCGGGGGUGAAAGCCCGAGGCUCAACCUCGGAACUGCCUUCGAUACUGGCGAUCUUGAGUCCGGGAGAGGUGAGUGGAACUCCGAGUGUAGAGGUGAAAUUCGUAGAUAUUCGGAAGAACACCAGUGGCGAAGGCGGCUACCUGGCCCAAUACUGACACUCAGGUGCGACAGCGUGGGGAGCAAACAGG